rnacentral:rRNA from 1 species
AUGAGUAAUGCCGCAAUCUCUAUUUGCUCUUGGAAUUUACGUGGCUUGGGUGACGAUGCCAAGUGCUCUGAUGUCCUAUCUGAAUCGAUCGCGAUCAAACCUCACAUUGCCCUCCUGCAAGAAUCAAAACUCGAUACUUACUCCGACACCAAACUAAGAUCAUUCUUGCCACGUCACCUCGACCAAGUCUUCUCAUUACCCGCCAUUGGCACGGCUGGCGGCACUAUUUCUGCCUUUAGCACAACUUCUCUCCAACUUAUCUCAUACACUCACCUCACCUUCUCCACCCUAAUUCUAAAAUCAACAGCAUGUGCUCGCAACAUCGCCAUUACCAAUAUCUACGCACCCUCUUCACGUGCGCUCAAACAAUCCUUCCUGGAUGAGCUCCUAGCUAUCUCACAACCAGAUGAUUAUCCAUGGUUGAUUGUUGGAGACUUCAACCUCCUUCGCUUCCCCUCCGACAAAAAUAACAAUGCCUUUCGGCAGUCUGAGGCCAAUGCAUUUAAUCAAACCCUAGACAACCUAGCUCUUAUCGAGUUGCCACUCCUUGAUCGCUAAUUUACUUGGUCCAACAAUAGAGAAAUGCCCACCUUAGAACAGACCGACUGCGCUUUCUUUAAUCUAGCUUGGGUCGAUGCCUUUCCUAACACAUCUCUAUCGUCGCUCACACGAUUCACGUCCGAUCAC